rnacentral:rRNA from 1 species
UGCGGAAUUUUAGAUAAUGGAGGGAACUCUGAUCUAGCGACGCCGCGUGCAGGAAGAAGGUCUUCGGAUUGUAAACUGCUGUGGUAAGGGAAAAAUGCUAUGUAGAGUGGAAAGCUACAUAGAGGGAUGGUACCUAACUAGAAAGCCCCGGCUAACUACGUGCCAGCAGCCGCGGUAAUACGUAGGGGGCGAGCGUUACCCGGAAUCACUGGGCGUAAAGGGAGCGUAGGUGGCCUAACAUGUCAACUGUGAAAACCCGGAGCUCAACUCCGGACUUGCAGUUGAAACUGGUAGGCUUGAGGACGGUAGAGGAAGACGGAACUGCCAGUGUAGUGGUAAAAUCCUUAGAGAUUGGCAGGAACGCCGGUGACGAAGGUGGUUUCCUGGGCCGGUUCUGACACUGAUGCUCGAAAGCCAGGGGAG